UCGGACGUGGUGCACGGUGUCCACCUGCUCUUCAUAUAUGAUGUCUAGCCCCACUGGAUGCAGGAAGCCUGGGUUCGACUCCCGGCGUCCGAA